rfam:Sorghum bicolor cultivar BTx623 chromosome 7, whole genome shotgun sequence.
UCGGAACAAGGACCAGUGCUAAAGGGUCCUGCCCAACGGCUACUAACAGGUGUUGUCCGGGCAGGGACCCUUUAGCACUGGUUCGUGUUACCAA